GACGAACGCUGGCGGCGUGCCUAAUGCAUGCAAGUAGAACGCUGAAGCUUGGUGCUUGCACCGAGCGGAUGAGUUGCGAACGGGUGAGUAACGCGUAGGUAACCUGCCUGGUAGCGGGGGAUAACUAUUGGAAACGAUAGCUAAUACCGCAUAAGAGUAGAUGUUGCAUGACAUUUGCUUAAAAGGUGCAAUUGCAUCACUACCAGAUGGACCCGCGUUGUAUUAGCUAGUUGGUGAGGUAACGGCUCACCAAGGCAACGAUACAUAGCCGACCUGAGAGGGUGAUCGGCCACACUGGGACUGAGACACGGCCCAGACUCCUACGGGAGGCAGCAGUAGGGAAUCUUCGGCAAUAGACGGAAGUCUGACCGAGCAACGCCGCGUGAGUGAAGAAGGUUUUCGGAUCGUAAAGCUCUGUUGUAAGAGAAGAACGAGUGUGAGAGUGGAAAGUUCACACUGUGACGGUAUCUUACCAGAAAGGGACGGCUAACUACGUG
rnacentral:rRNA from 1 species